GGGUGCUUAGCUCAGUUGGUAGAGCGGUGCCCUUACAAGGCAUAGGUCGGGAGUUCGAGCCUCUCAGCACCCA
rnacentral:tRNA from 1 species